UGUUUUUGUGUGUGUUCACCCUUUUUUGUUGAGUCUCUGUUUGUUCAUCUUUUUCUUUGUUUUCGCGUGUGUUCACCCUUAUUCUCGACUUGUGUUUACCGUUUCGAGUCUUUGUUUCCGGAAUCAGCUGGUGUUGGUGUGAGUACCCGUUUGUUCAGCGUGUGUGUGUGUUGUAUGUUCAUACCUUGGGGGAUUUCUUCUGUUGUUAC
rnacentral:lncRNA from 1 species